GACGAACCGUGCGAACGUUGUUCGGAUUCACUGGGCUUAAAGGGCGCGUAGGCGGCUUGCCAAGUCAGGGGUGAAAUCUUUCGGCUCAACCGGAAAACAGCUUCUGAUACUGGCGGGCUUGAGGGAGGUAGAGGCGAGUGGAAUUCCCGGUGUAGUGGUGAAAUGCGUAGAGAUCGGGAGGAACACCUGUGGCGAAGGCGGCUCGCUGGGCCGGUCCUGACGCUGAUAUGCGAAGGCGUGGGGAGCGAACGGG
rnacentral:rRNA from 1 species